rnacentral:ncRNA from 17 species
AAUUUCGAGACAAUGGUAUAUGAUAGCGAUCGAGUGCCGCGCCAAGGCGCGAUGCUCCCCGCUUCUCCUCCCUGAGCGGGUGCCUGUCGUUAUUCGAUUAGGCUGUUUGACCCGCCGCGAAACGGCGGGUUUUUUUAUGCGCCAACCGACGGCAAGCCU